GUCAGAAUGGAGUGGUGGCAGAGAUGCCAGCUCCCUGCAUACCAUGACUUUGGAAUGUUUGAAAGCAUCCUUUGAGUCCUGGCUCUCACGACAACAUGCCAGUGGAUUCAUCCAUGACAGCCAGGUUACUAUUGUUGGCUAAGAAGAGCAUCUCAGAUCUAUCAGUAUUGCUUGUUUUAUUCUUUCCAGAGAUAAAUCACACAUGUCAACAGAAUUAUAUUGAUUUAAUAUUCAUAGAAAUUUAAAUUUCUCUUUACCAA